rnacentral:lncRNA from 1 species
GCCAGAAAUGGCUUUAAUAUUUGUGGAUUAUAUGGCUGGCCAGAUGUUGAAAUCAUUCAGAGAGACUGAAAGCAAACCCUUGAGUAUGAGAUCAUUAUUGUGACAUCAUUAAGGUGGAUCAUGAAGAGAAGCAAACAUAGUUUACACUUUUGGAGUUCGACAUGCUGGAUUAUGCUUGAGUUGUGAAAGAGUGAAUUUGGAUAACAGUUGAAGGAUGUAGCAUUAAGAAAGUACAGUCGUUAAUUUCAUGUGUAAACUUGACAGUGCCACUGGAUGCCCAGAUAUUUGGUGUUCUUAAUAGAUUGCUAUUUAAUGUCAUUCAAGAUCUACAAAACAUCAUUUUUGCAUGACUACUGCAAAAGGACUACUGUAAAGAAACCAGUUCCUUUUGCAAGAGGACAAUUUGGACCCUGUUUCAGAAAGCAGUUUGAAGGCAGCAAUUCAGUUAAAUAAGCAGGAAACCAUGGGCAGAGAGAUGUAGAGUGAACCCCACCAGUGUAGAGGAUCUCCUGAAGGAGGACAGCUUUUAUGUUAUUUUCUUAGGAUAUUCAUAUAUUAUAUGAUCAACAAAAAUCACCAAUAAUCAAUUAUACAUAUUUAAGUAAAAUUGAACAUUGUUUUCAUUUAAUAAUAGUCUUUUAAAAUUAAUACUUUAAAGCACAUGAUGGGCAUAUGUUUCAUAUUCAUGAUCAAGUGAACACAACCAGACUGUGGUCGAAUUAAAUCCACCGUGUACUAAUUAAAUAUAUUACUUAUGAUGUGUGUUUUAGAGUCAACUGAAGAGGGGAAUUCAUUUUGCAUAAAGAGUGACAUUCCUAUUUUCUAUUCGUUCAUAAAAUUUUGACAAUGUCAUACCCAAUUUCAAAGUUGUCACAUACCUAUCCUCUAAUUUGUCAGGUUAAAUGAUCAAAAAUUUUGGACAUUAUCUUCUACAGACUUUUCAGUUAUAUUUUCAGUUUCUUGAAAAUUAGGGUAGGGCUGGGGAUUUAGCUCAGUGGUUUUGCCGCCUUCUGCGCAUGUGCAAGGACCCGAGUUUGAUCCCCAGUAAGAAAGAAAGAAAGAAAGAAAGAAAGAAAGAAAGAAAGAAAGAAAGAAAGAAAGAAAAUUAGGGUAAGGGAAGAAAUGUUACUAAAUCUGUGUUUCAGAGCCAUUCAAUGGGAAAAUAGAAGGUUAAAUGUUUUACAAGUAGGUUUCAUUUUAUUUUCUACUAGCUACAUCCAAAUUCUGGCAGCUCCUUGGAGAAAAUUUAAAAUUUUACAUAUAUUCCAUUCAUUGAAAUGAACAUGCCAAUGUGUCAUUUUGAUUAGAUAGAUAGAUAGAUAGAUAGAUAGAUAGAUAGAUAGAUAGAUAGAUAGAUAGAUAGAUAGAUAGAUAGAUAGAUAGAUAGAUAGAUAGAUAGAUAGAUAGAUAGAUAGAUAGAUAGAGAAUGGAGACAGAAAGGGAUGGACUGUAUCUACAUGGAAACCUCAAACUAUGAAACAAAAGUGAAUUUCACAUAAACUAGAAUAUUUCUACAUGUGAACAUUAAAAAGAUUUAAGACAGAUUUUUCCAUCAUAAUUCUGCUUGUUGCAAAAGGAAUGAUCUCACAAUAAGUUAUUUAUAAAAAAUAAAAGUAAAAUAGCAAUCUGUAGCCUAUCUACAAAUAUAUACAUCUUGUGCCUAAAGUAUUUUG